CUCGCAGACCGCCUUAUCGUCGUCCCGAUUUAUCGGGAGGGAGGAAAGUCCGGACACCACAGAGAAGCAUAGCGGGUAACACCCGUCGGUUGCGUUUUUACGAACGCGAUUAGGACAAGUGCAACAGAAAGUAUGUACAGGUAAUGCUGUAGUGAAACCAGGUAAACUCUAUGCGGUGAAAUAUCAAGUAUAUCAGCAUUUAAGGGCUUCUCGUUCGUUGCUGAAGGGUAGAUAGCUUGAGUUCAAAAGUAAUUUUGGAUCUAGAUAAAUGAUAAGGGUUUCGAGUAAUCGAGAUACAGAAUCCGGCUUAUAGGUCUGCUUUUUUU
rnacentral:RNase_P_RNA from 1 species